UACGUAGGGGGCAAGCGUUGUCCGGAAUCAUUGGGCGUAAAGCGCGUGUAGGCGGCUUGGUAAGUCCGCUCUGAAAGCCCGGGGCUCAACCCCGGGAGGCGGGUGGAUACUGUCAAGCUCGAGUCCGGAAGAGGCGAGUGGAAUUCCUGGUGCAGCGGUGAAAUGCGCAGAUAUCAGGAGGAACACCAAUGGCGAAGGCAGCUCGCUGGGACGUGACUGACGCUGAGACGCGAAAGCGUGGGGAGCAAACAGG
rnacentral:rRNA from 1 species